AAGGGGAGCCAGACGGUCGCGUGAGCAAUCACGAGGAAAGUCCGGACACCAUAGAGCACGCUGCCGGCUAACGGCCGGGCGCCCUCGCUUCAAGGCUAGGGUGACGAACAGGGCAACAGAAAACAAACCACUUGAGUCUUCGGGCGCAAGAACGGGUGAAACGGUGGGGUAAAAGCCCACCGCGUCUUUGGUAACAAAGGCGGCACGGCAACCUCCAGCGGGUGCAAGUUCAAAUAGGCGCGUCCCUUAGGGCUGCUCGUUCUAAAGUAGGCGCGCGGGUAGAACGCUCGAGGCUUGGGGCAACCCAAGCCCUAGACGAAUGACCGUCCAACGACAAAAUCCGGCUUAUCGGCUCCCUCAUUUU
rnacentral:RNase_P_RNA from 1 species